UACGAAGGGGGCUAGCGUUGCUCGGAAUCACUGGGCGUAAAGGGCGCGUAGGCGGAUCUUUAAGUCGGGGGUGAAAGCCCAGGGCUCAACCCUGGAAUUGCCUUCGAUACUGGAGAUCUUGAGACCGGAAGAGGUAAGUGGAACUGCGAGUGUAGAGGUGAAAUUCGUAGAUAUUCGGAGAAGACACCAGUGGCGAAGGCGGCACUGUCGGGACGGAUGACUGACGGAGAGACGAAGCGUGGGGAGCAAAACAGG
rnacentral:rRNA from 1 species